rnacentral:rRNA from 1 species
AGAGUUUGAUCCUGGCUCAGGACGAACGCUGGCGGCGUGCCUAACACAUGCAAGUCGAGCGAGUGAAUCUCCUUCGGGAGUGAAGCUAGCGGCGGACGGGUGAGUAACACGUGGGCAACCUGCCUCAUAGAGGGGAAUAGCCUUUCGAAAGGAAGAUCAAUACCGCAUAAGAUUGUAGCUUCGCAUGAAGUAGCAAUUAAAGGAGCAAUCCGCUAUGAGAUGGGCCCGCGGCGCAUUAGCUAGUUGGUGAGGUAACGGCUCACCAAGGCGACGAUGCGUAGCCGACCUGAGAGGGUGAUCGGCCACAUUGGGACUGAGACACGGCCCAGACUCCUACGGGAGGCAGCAGUGGGGAAUAUUGCACAAUGGGGGAAACCCUGAUGCAGCAACGCCGCGUGAGUGAUGACGGCCUUCGGGUUGUAAAGCUCUGUCUUCAGGGACGAUAAUGACGGUACUCAACAAGGAAGUGACGGCUAACUACGUGCCAGCAGCCGCGGUAAAACGUAGGUCACAAGCGUUGUCCGGAAUUACUGGGUGUAAAGGGAGCGCAGGCGGGAAGACAAGUUGGAAGUGAAAUCCAUGGGCUCAACCCAUGAACUGCUUUCAAAACUGUUUUUCUUGAGUAGUGCAGAGGUAGGCGGAAUUCCCGGUGUAGCGGUGGAAUGCGUAGAUAUCGGGAGGAACACCAGUGGCGAAGGCGGCCUACUGGGCACCAACUGACGCUGAGGCUCGAAAGUGUGGGUAGCAAACAGGAUUAGAUACCCUGGUAGUCCACACUGUAAACGAUGAUUACUAGGUGUUGGAGGAUUGACCCCUUCAGUGCCGCAGUUAACACAAUAAGUAAUCCACCUGGGGAGUACGACCGCAAGGUUGAAACUCAAAGGAAUUGACGGGGGCCCGCACAAGCAGUGGAGUAUGUGGUUUAAUUCGACGCAACGCGAAGAACCUUACCAAGUCUUGACAUCCUGCGACGGUGCUGGAAACAGUACUUUCCUUCGGGACGCAGAGACAGGUGGUGCAUGGUUGUCGUCAGCUCGUGUCGUGAGAUGUUGGGUUAAGUCCCGCAACGAGCGCAACCCUUAUGGUCAGUUACUACGCAAGAGGACUCUGGCCAGACUGCCGUUGACAAAACGGAGGAAGGUGGGGAUGACGUCAAAUCAUCAUGCCCUUUAUGACUUGGGCUACACACGUACUACAAUGGCGUUAAACAAAGAGAAGCAAGACCGCGAGGUGGAGCAAAACUCAGAAACAACGUCCCAGUUCGGACUGCAGGCUGCAACUCGCCUGCACGAAGUCGGAAUUGCUAGUAAUCGCAGAUCAGCAUGCUGCGGUGAAUACGUUCCCGGGCCUUGCACACACCGCCCGUCA